UAAGAUAAAAACCAAACUGGACCAUAACAGCAACUCAACUACCUGGUAUUAAUUCAAAUUAUCAUUACAAAACUUACAUUCAACACUCAUCAGUUACAUGAUACUAAAUCAAACAAACAAUACUAAACGAUACUCAAUACUCAAGUGAUGAAUCUGUUUUUACAAAUAUUAAGCUAAAUUAGGCAUUCAACUCAUAACACAAGUUCAUAAGUGUAAUAGCUAACAGUCCAUUUAUUACACAGUGUAUAGUAUUUCAUUCAUCAUACUUCACUACUGCUACAGUAUACAUAGAAUUAAACUAACACACUCAAACAAGUUAAUAUCUAUAAUCACGAGCCAAACUUCAUUUUUUCUUCAAUUAAUUACCACACGCUGACUGUUUCAGUCUUCAUACAUCAACUGGAUGUGAAGAAAUACCUGGAAUUUGAACUGAAAUAGAGAAAGGAGAGGUCAAUAGCAGAACUAACUUCAGAAGUUACCACAGCAAUACAAUAGUAGAUAACUAGCAGCAGCAAAUGAAGCAAUUAACACAGCCAGGACAGUACUAAAUCGACUAAAAUGAAACCAAGCAAAAAACAAGACAACAGCAUCCAAUAGUUGACCCCAAAAACAGUUUAGCUUCAACCAAAUACCAAUCGAAAUGCAGUCAGAAACACCCCUAAAAGCCAGCAACCAGAAACUGAACUCAAAAAUGUAACUUGAUAAUCAGAACUGAAAUUCCUUUCAAGGUUGAAUGGAACAGUAGGUUUUUCAGUUACUUUUACUUUUAGGAUAGUUUUCUAUGUAAAAUCUAUAUCUUUGAAAAUCGAUUCAAAAAGAGACCCUAAAGACUCUCAAGAACUGUCUCGCAGACUGAUUUCAACUCUCAAGAACUGAUCACUCUCAAAAGCUUUCCUCUCCCUUUUUCAACUGAACUCCCCCUAUUUAUACCCAACCCUUGAACCCUUUCCAGCCCCUUUUCUUUUUUAUAGUUGUAAAAAGAUCUUUUAUUAUUACCACAUACUUAUUACUUUUCAGCUUGUAUAUUUCUUUACUAUGUAUACCCUUUUCACCUAUCAUUAAUAACCUAUAUUUAUUAUUUUUCAAUUAGGUAAAAGUAUUAGGCCAACCCAACAGUCCCCUUUUUCAAUUCGUAAUUAAUCUAUGAAAGUCCCUUAGGUUAGACUACCUAAAUUACCCUCCUAACUUCCUAAAACUACUAUCCUAUCCCAAUCGCCUUUCAAUCUGUACCAAACCCAUCAGUUAUAACCAAUUCACUCAUCAAAGUCAAUCAGCAGUUCAAGCUAGAACUCAGAUCAAAUCAAAUAGCAUCAAAAUAAAGACCAAUGACUCAGAACAAAAUCAUAUUGAACUACCAAGGUCAAAUUUCAAACCAUGAUUGACACAUUACAUGGGAAUGACUACCUACAUUCAGAAUUCUAAAUUAAACUUAAACAAAAAUGAAUGAAACAACAUAAUAUACUGGACGAAAAUAAACUGAUUUUAUAUGCAAAAUCAUAAAUUAUAUUCACAAUUAUAAAUUAAACUUAAACAAAAAUGAAUGAAACACUGUAACAUACUAGACAAAAAUAAAGUGAAUUUAUAUGCAAAAUAAUGAACAACAAAGAGCAGGGAGCCAAACAUCACACAAAUAUGAAGCCAUUCAAACUAGUAUUACCAGUAACCAAUUACAGGACUAGUCAUAUUUUUGUACGAGAACUUAUGGACAAAAAAGUUGGAUUGAUUCAAAUAAUUUAUAACAUGUGCUUAAUAAAGCAGAAGAAAAAAAUGAACCAAGAAAAUGUUCUGAAAAGAGGAUGAUGAGAUAAUUGACAAAAACAACGAAAAAUUAAUCAGACAAAAAAACAACAAAAAAAGAAACUAAAGAAAAAGAAAGUACCUUAGAAUUUAGACCUAGUUCCCAUUCUUUCUAAUCGCGACUUCGAUUUGAACUUGAAGCCGACAUGGACCUUAAUCGAGUGUUCUUGAUUGAGAACACAUGACUAAGAUCGAUGACGACCUCAAACUUCCUAAUACAGCUCGAUUCCAUGCUUGGUUCUGUUAGGGUUCGUUCGUUCAUUCAAUUUAGGAUUCGACAAGUUCCAGCUCGAUUCGAGUGAAAAUGAUAUUAGAUUAGGGAGUUUGGGUGGUCAAGGGGUGUGAUUUUGGGGUAAAGUUGAGGCGGCUAGGGUUUUGGUCCUAUUUACGAUCUAAGAUUUGAAGACACCGGUGAUAUUUCGAGGGAAACUGAUGGAGUGUUAGGGAUAAGGAGGUUGUGGUUUUUUGGUGGUGUUAUUUUGGUGGUCAUCGGAGCAUGGGCCAUCGGGUUUAUGGCGGUGGGAAUGGGGGUCGCGCUAGGGUUCGUUGUCUCUGAAAGAGACGAGGGUUUGAGAGAAACGGGAGAGAGGGGGGUUCUGAGGUGGGCGGGGUGUGGUCUGAGG
rnacentral:lncRNA from 1 species